rnacentral:rRNA from 1 species
GACGAACGCUGGCGGCGUGCUUAACACAUGCAAGUCGAACGGAAAGGCCCUGCUUUUGUGGGGUGCUCGAGUGGCGAACGGGUGAGUAACACGUGAGUAACCUGCCCUUGACUUUGGGAUAACUUCAGGAAACUGGGGCUAAUACCGGAUAGGAGCUCCUGCUGCAUGGUGGGGGUUGGAAAGUUUCGGCGGUUGGGGAUGGACUCGCGGCUUAUCAGCUUGUUGGUGGGGUAGUGGCUUACCAAGGCUUUGGCGGGUAGCCGGCCUGAGAGGGUGACCGGCCACAUUGGGACUGAGAUACGGCCCAGACUCCUACGGGAGGCAGCAGUGGGGAAUAUUGCACAAUGGGCGGAAGCCUUAUGCAGCAACGCCGCGUGCGGGAUGACGGCCUUCGGGUUGUAAACCGCUUUCGCCUGUGACGAAGCGUGAGUGACGGUAAUGGGUAAAGAAGCACCGGCUAACUACGUG